GUUCUCGUAGUUGAAAUACAACGGUGGUUUUUCAUGUCAUCGGUCGUGGUUAGAGCCCACGUGAGAAUA
rnacentral:tRNA from 1 species